rnacentral:rRNA from 1 species
AACGAACGCUGGCGGCAUGCCUAACACAUGCAAGUCGAACGAGACCUUCGGGUCUAGUGGCGCACGGGUGCGUAACGCGUGGGAACCUGCCCUUAGGUUCGGAAUAACUCCCCGAAAGGGGUGCUAAUACCGGAUAAUGUCUUCGGACCAAAGAUUUAUCGACUUUGGAUGGGCCCUCGUUGGAUUAGCUAGUUGGUAGGGUAAAAGCCUACCAAGGGGACGAUCCAUAGCUGGUCUGAGAGGAUGAUCAGCAACACUGGGACUGAGACACGGCCCAGACUCCUACGGGAGGCAGCAGUGGGGAAUAUUGGACAAUGGGCGAAAGCAUGAUCCAGCAAUGACGCGUGAGUGAUGAAGGCCUUAGGGUUGUAAAGCUCUUUUAACCGGGAUGAUAAUGACAGUACCGGGAGAAUAAGCUCCGGCUAACUCCGUG